GGGGUGCGCGGUGCCGAUCGGUGUCCCACUAAGUUCCGCAUCGAUACGGUGACCUCCCGGGAGCGGGGGACCACCAGGUUGCCUAAGGAGGGGUGAACCGGCCCAGGUCGGAACGGAGCAGGGAUCGGAAGAGAGUC